GGGGGCGUAGCUCAGCUGGUAGAGCAGCGGUCUUUUAAACCGAUGGUCGCGGGUCCGAGCCCCGCCGCCCCCA
rnacentral:tRNA from 1 species